rnacentral:rRNA from 1 species
CAUGCAAGUUCGAACGGCAGCACAGCAGUAGCAAUACUGUGGGUGGCGAGUGGCGGACGGKUGAGGAAUACAUGGGAAUCUGCCCUGUCGUGGGGGAUAACGUAGGGAAACUUACGCUAAUACCGCAUACGACCGGAAGGUGAAAGCGGCGGACCGCAMGGCGUCGCGCGACUGGAUGAGCCCAUGUCGGAUUAGCUAGUUGGCGGGGUAAAGGCCCACCAAGGCGACGAUCCGUAGCUGGUCUGAGAGGAUGAUCAGCCACACUGGAACUGAGACACGGUCCAGACUCCUACGGGAGGCAGCAGUGGGGAAUAUUGGACAAUGGGCGCAAGCCUGAUCCAGCCAUGCCGCGUGAGUGAAGAAGGCCUUCGGGUUGUAAAGCCCUUUUGUCCGGAAAGAAAGGUUCGCGGUUAAUACCCGCGGAUGAUGACGGUACCGGAAGAAUAAGCACCGGCUAACUUCGUGCCAGCAGCCGCGGUAAUACGAAGGGUGCAAGCGUUACUCGGAAUUACUGGGCGUAAAGCGUGCGUAGGUGGUUCGUUAAGUCUGAUGUGAAAGCCCUGGGCUCAACCUGGGAAUGGCAUUGUAAACUGGCUACCUAGAGUGCGGUAGAGGGUAGUGUAAUUCCCGGUGUAGCAGUGAAAUGCGUAGAGAUCGGG